rnacentral:tRNA from 1 species
ACUAUUUUGACAGAUUAAUGUGAUGAAUUUAGAAUUCAUUUAUGUAGUUUUAUUCUACAAAUAGUA